CGAAUUGGAGGAUCGAUAUAUGGAAUGGAAGAGGACGUUUCCGCGAGUAAGACGAGGAAACAUCUUUUCUUUCGCACAAUUUGAUCGACAGUG